CAUUACAGAAUCGGUGACGCUCGCGUCCCAUUCUCACCCUUUGUAUACGAAACUUCGGUUGCCUUGGCCACUUGUGGCCAAAGGAUCCAAACCCUUGAAUCACUGCAGUCUGAGUAUGAUACAAUCGUUAAAACUUUCAACAACGGAUCUCUUGGUUCUGGCAUCGAUGAAGAACGCAGCGAAAUGCGAUAAGUAAUGUGAAUUGCAGAAUUCAGUGAAUCAUCGAAUCUUUGAACGCACAUUGCGCCCUCCGGUAUUCCGGGGGGCAUGCCUGUUCGAGCGUCAUUACAACCCUCAAGCUCNGCUUGGUAUUGGCCCCGCCCCUCCCGGCGCGGCCCAAAAUCAGUGGCGGCUCCGUCCAGUCUCAAGCGUAGUACUACUCGCCGCUUGUUAGGCUCGGGCGACAGCCUGCCAGCGAACCCUUUUUUUCAAUGGUUGAC
rnacentral:rRNA from 1 species